rnacentral:rRNA from 1 species
UGCACUCCUACGGGAGGCAGCAGUGGGGAAUAUUGCACAAUGGGCGCAAGCCUGAUGCAGCCAUGCCGCGUGUAUGAAGAAGGCCUUCGGGUUGUAAAGUACUUUCAGCGGGGAGGAAGGCGAUAAGGUUAAUAACCUUGUUGAUUGACGUUACCCGCAGAAGAAGCACCGGCUAACUCCGUGCCAGCAGCCGCGGUAAUACGGAGGGUGCAAGCGUUAAUCGGAAUUACUGGGCGUAAAGCGCACGCAGGCGGUCUGUCAAGUCGGAUGUGAAAUCCCCGGGCUCAACCUGGGAACUGCAUUCGAAACUGGCAGGCUAGAGUCUUGUAGAGGGGGGUAGAAUUCCAGGUGUAGCGGUGAAAUGCGUAGAGAUCUGGAGGAAUACCGGUGGCGAAGGCGGCCCCCUGGACAAAGACUGACGCUCAGGUGCGAAAGCGUGGGGAGCAAACAGGAUUAGAAACCCGAGUAGUCCCAUG